rnacentral:lncRNA from 1 species
ACUGUGAAGUCACAAGAGGCCCUGAGCUCUGUGGGCCCCAGGUGCCCCGGGAAAACUUGGGGGAGAAUGGGCAUCCCACCCCAGCACUUUCUAGGAAGAAGGGCAGCAUUUUGAAGGGCUGGAAGUAGAGGAAGGAGGUUGCGGGUAGAAGACUCCAUACUUUCUGUGACGCCUAUUCCUUAGGUAGGAACUUAGGAACCUCAGGAGAGCCUUUAUAUAACCAAAGAUAUUUUUGGACCAUGAAUUCAGAAAUUCUCGGAGCCACCCAUCAGUGCCUGAGCUUCAGUGAGUCCAUAUCCCAUGUCACCCACGGCAAAGGAGACUCUAAGACUUCUGAAGAGUUUCUUGCUUCUUUCCUGUGGGGCAGUGACUCCACUUCCCAGCAGUAAUGGAAUAUCCUGAAUUAGCUACAUUAAUGUUAGAACCAUUUGGACCUCACCCAGGACUUCAACUACAUUAUGAGUAACUCCUGGACGAUUGGCACAGAAGAAGGCACAAGGCAAAUACCCAUCUCUGUACACCCUGUGCUACUGUGUCAUGUGCUGCUCCAGGCAACUCCAAUGGAUUGGCCACCCUGGCCAAUGUGUGAGUUAUAAAGCAAUGAUGUGUAGCUAUUGAACCUACAAUUUGGUUAAAGUUAAACUCUCAAGUUUUAUAUGUUUACAAGCAUAUUGUCCUUUUGUUAAUUUCCUCCCAGUACUCAUUUCUUGACUUCUUUUAGUUUUACUAUGUAGUAAUUUUUAAAAUGUUAGUCAAAGUUAGUUAAUUUAAUUCACUUAGCAGAUUUUCCUGUAAUUUUGGUUAAACAGUAUCCUUUCUGUACAGGCCCUCCAAACACCAGCACUGAGUAGAAAGAGGCUCUGAUUCAUGAAAUGUGAAUUUAUGACAGUUGCCACUCUUAAAAAAAAAAACAAACAGACAGAACUUGAGCAAUACAUGACUGAUGCAUUCUCAGCCUGCUUCCUGUGUUCCAUCUGUCUUUCUGCCAGUGCAUUCACCCUCCAGUGAAACUUUCUACAUUCCACAUUUUCUAUCAAGAAAAGAAAGAGGUUGUAUUGUGAGGUAAGAGGCACACACACGGACUUCCUUCAGUAGCUGCAAUCCUUGCUAUAGGUCAGGCAUCAAGACAAUUCCACUUUACAGGCCUGGAUUUUGGAGAAAGAAAGGUUCUAGUAUGUUACGUUUAUGUUCCCCUGCUUUCUACAAUCCUGUUCAAAGAGUUGCUGACUUAACCACAGAGAGGAUUCCAGAACCUGAGACACAGAAUAAACUUGAGCAAUCAUAGUCCAUCCACUUCAUUGUCUCAUCAAAAACCAAAGGUCCAGUGAAGCUCUGGAACUCAACGCUGUAAAGGAGCGAAGGAGCUUCUAUACAGAGCCUGGAUGCCUGUCUCCUUAUCCUACUUCAGUGGACUUGACUGCAAUCCGGAUUAUGCUGUUUUCUAAGCAUUUAAAAUAAAAUAAAAAGUAUAAUAGUGUGAUAAGUUCUUUCACAAAGCAAGCAAUCACAUUUAUGUUUCUACUUACAUUUGGGUUUUCCAAAUAUGUGUGUGUGUGUGUGUGUGUGUGUGUGUGUGUGUAUGUAGACUUUAAACAUGGUGCAUCCAUCAUGUUGCACUAAAUCAAAACCACCAAAUAAUGAUGUAGAACUAAUAAAUCAAAACCAUCAAAUAAUGACAUAGAAAUCCAAUUCUCCCACCUUACACCCAUUAAGAUGGCUACU